rnacentral:tRNA from 1 species
GGAGACGUGGCCGAGUGGUUAUGGCGCUGUAAGUUUACUAUACUAGUGGGUAAUUCCGCGUGGGUUCGAGUCCCACCGUCUUCA